UACGGAGGGAGCUAGCGUUGUUCGGAAUUACUGGGCGUAAAGCGCACGUAGGCGGCGAUUUAAGUCAGAGGUGAAAGCCCGGGGCUCAACCCCGGAACUGCCUUUGAGACUGGAUUGCUAGAAUCUUGGAGAGGCGAGUGGAAUUCCGAGUGUAGAGGUGAAAUUCGUAGAUAUUCGGAAGAACACCAGUGGCGAAGGCGGCUCGCUGGACAAGUAUUGACGCUGAGGUGCGAAAGCGUGGGGAGCAAACAGGAUUAGAAACCCUGGUAGU
rnacentral:rRNA from 1 species